AAAUCACAUAAUUGUUGUGCCUGGGAAAUAUUUCUGAGCCCCCGAGGAAGUUCUGAAACGACCUUUAGCAACUUGUCCAUUUUUUGACUGAGGAGGUGAUUUUGUGCUGCUGCUGCGUCUUCAGUGGGGAGAUGUAAAAGUCCUCCUCUUUGCGUGCCUCUUUCAUUCUGUGACACUUCAUUGAGAGCCAUCUCUUCAAUUAAGUUGUACGCCUCAUCCUCUGUCUUUCUAUUAAUACUACCUGCAGCUGAGGCAUCUAUCAUCAUUUUAGACUCAGCGCGCAAACC
rnacentral:lncRNA from 1 species